UACGUAGGUGACAAGCGUUAUCCGGAUUUAUUGGGCGUAAAGCGCACGCAGGCGGCUCUUCAAGUCUGACGUGAAAUCUCUCGGCUUAACCGGGAGCGGUCGUUGGAAACUGAAGGGCUUGAGGCGAUGAGAGGGGUGUGGAAUUCCCGGUGUAGUGGUGGAAUGCGUAGAUAUCGGGAGGAACAUCAGUGGCGAAAGCGGCACCCUGGCAUUAGCCUGACGCGUCAUGUGCGAAAGCGUGGGGAGCGAACGGGG
rnacentral:rRNA from 1 species